rnacentral:lncRNA from 12 species
GAUAGAGGCUUCCAUUGUGCUUGAGUCAUCUGGAUAGACGUGGAGGGAGGGACAGAAGAAAGGACAAAGAGAUAGACCCAUCCUCUGAGAACUACACAGAGUCGACCUUAUGGCUUGUCAUAAGGGAAACCAAGUGACUGCAACUAUGUCAACUCUCACAUGGAGCUCCUCUGGGAAGGAACAGCUUGCCCGCCUCCUCUCCCUAGGGAAUGCUCUUGAACUUCAUAUCAUACAUUUAUUGACCAUCAAAAAGCAAAAGGGUGGCAAUACUUCUGUGAUCUCAUGAAGGGACAUCAACUCAAAGGUUGGCACCUGAAGUCCUUUGGAGAAUGACUCUGAGGCCCUGGAGGUAAGAUUCAUCACCUAUUUAUCUCUGUAUCUCCAGCACCCCAGCACCCCAGCACAUUGCCUGCCUGGCAUAUGGGAGACACUCUUUCAGUGUUUGUUGAAUGAAUGAAUAAAAGUGGGCACAAUAAUGUAGAAAAAAACUAA